rnacentral:rRNA from 1 species
UACGUAGGGGGCAAGCGUUGUCCGGAUUUAUUGGGCGUAAAGAGCGUGUAGGCGGCUUUACAGGUCCGUUGUGAAAACUCGAGGCUCAACCUCGAGACGCCGGUGGAAACCGUAAGGCUAGAGUCCGGAAGAGGAGAGUGGAAUUCCUGGUGUAGCGGUGAAAUGCGCGGAUAUCAGGAAGAACACCCGUGGCGAAGGCGGCUCUCUGGGACGGUACUGACGCUGAGACGCGAAAGCGUGGGGAGCGAACAGG